ensembl:lncRNA
GCUUAACUGCAAUGUGCCCAUGCUCGAUCUGCUGCAUUCGCAAAGCAAGUGGAGACCACCUGGGCACCUGCAAGCACCUGUGAUCACCUGUCUGUUUCCCAGCAGCUGCACACAAGGGGAGAGCUUGGGUUCCUGCUUAGGUCCUUCCCUCCUCCUCUGUGUGCUGUGCCACCGACAGCAGGGUGGGAGCCCAGGGGCUCCCUUCUUGCUGGCUUCAGGAUCCUCUGCAGAACCCCAAAUGGCUUUUUGCACUCCCUCAGCCUCUUGCUGACCACUGAAGGGCUGGGACUGUGCUAGUAGGAAAGCAGAGCCAGCUGACAUUCAGAUAAGUUGGCAGCGACUCCGUGAGCUUUGGGUCUUGCAUCUUGGUGAGGCCAAAGAAUAGCCCUGGUUGCAGGCUGCAGUGAUCCAUGGUCCCAGGCACAGCCAGGACACUACAAAAUGGCAGUGAUUUGCACACUACGGCUCUCCCGUCCCCUCAUUUGUAACUUCCCUCCUCUAGCAAACCUGGUCUGCAGUCACUCUUUUUCCCCUGCAGAUCAGUCCCUCCCUGCCUGGGGCUUUGUAGCCCUCCUGGAUGUCUGCACAACUCAAGGAAUACCUGGCCCCUUUGCAGGCUGCCGCUCUGGGAUAUGAGGAGCAUUUUCCCUUCUAUUUCUGGAGCUGCAAAUGUCUGCAAAGCAGGUUUAAGGCAGGCAUUGAUGCUCUCUGUGCUAAAAGGAGGAAGAGAGCUACCACAGCAGAUCCAUAAGUGGGUUGCUGACAGGGACCGAGGUGUGAGCACAUCCUCCCCUUAGCUCCUGAACCAAAGCGAGCUGCAGGGCUGAGAUCCCGGCUUGCCUCACCUCUGCUCCAGCUGCAAGGAGGAGGCAGGAGCUGGUGGCACUUGGGGACGUGGCUGCCAAGGCAGAGACUCCCAGACCGGCAUCCGCAGGUGGUGUGAAGAGCUCUGCAGGACAUGGGGUUAGGCAAGGAGUCCGCAUUUUAAACCAGCCCAUGCGUGAGAACAGGUGUCAGGGACACCGCUGUCCUGUGCAACCUGGGCUGCUGCUUCUCCGGACAGGAAUUGGAGCUGAAAACGCAGAUAAUUUUGUAAAUCUCCUUUUAACACAUUAGCAUGGGACUCUACACUCAGACAUCACAGCUGGCGCACCGACGUGGUUUUCCUUCGCCUCCGACACAGUCCGCCAAAGUCUUCUGGCCCGGAGACAGGACUCUGCUCCUUGGUACUGUCUGGGAACGCGACUGGGUCCUAAGGCUGAAUCUCUCUACAUUAUCUCCUUUGCAUUCUUUAGGAAAGCAGCUCGAGAAUGUUUACACACUGCAAACAGAAUGUACAACUCCGACCAGGAACCACAAUCCGGUUCAACUGCAUGGCAAAUUUCUUGGCCAUCGAAUCUGGCAUGCAUCACAGAGGCCCCGUCUGUGUACAGAUCCACCUGGCAUUGCUCAUACCUUCAGAUCACGUCUUAAAAAGAAUAUACGAUGAUGCCAUUUCUUGUUCAUACCAGACACAGUUGUCAUUAGAUUUGUUAUUAACAGGGGGAUUCUUGAUCAUGC